rnacentral:rRNA from 1 species
GACGAACGCUGGCGGCGUGCCUAAUACAUGCAAGUCGAACGCAUUUUCUUUCACCGUAGCUUGCUACACCGACAGAAAAUGCGUGGCGAACGGGUGAGUAACACGUGGGUAACCUGCCCAUCAGCGGGGGAUAACACUUGGAAACAGGUGCUAAUACCGCAUAAUUCCAUUUACCGCAUGGUAAAUGGAUGAAAGGCGCUUUUGCGUCACUGAUGGAUGGACCCGCGGUGCAUUAGCUAGUUGGUGGGGUAACGGCCUACCAAGGCUGCGAUGCAUAGCCGACCUGAGAGGGUGAUCGGCCACACUGGGACUGAGACACGGCCCAGACUCCUACGGGAGGCAGCAGUAGGGAAUCUUCGGCAAUGGACGCAAGUCUGAACGAGCAACGCCGCGUGAGGGAAGAAGGGUUUCGGAUCGUAAAACUCUGUUGUUAGAGAAGAACAAGGAUGAGAGUGGAAAGUUCAUCCCUUGACGGUAUCUAACCAGAAAGCCACGGCUAACUACGUG